CGGAUGAUAUAAAACAGCUGUACCGAAUCUCAAAUAAAUAGCAGACAAAGCGCCACUGGAACGGUGUUAGGUCAGCAUUGUUGAAUUGUUUGGGAUAAGAGCUCAUUCAAACUGAAAAUGGAUCCUUGUGAUUGCUCAAAAAUGUUUUGUUUGUAGCUGGAAGCUGCAGUUGCGGUGGACCCUGCAAGUGCACAAACUGUGGAUGUACAACGAAAAGUUGUUGUUCCUGCUGCC